rnacentral:rRNA from 1 species
CUACGGAGGAUCCAAGCGUUAUCCGGAUUUAUUGGGUUUAAAGGGUGCGCAGGCGGCCUUAUAAGUCAGUGGUAAAAUCUCCCGGCUCAACCGGGAAACUGCCAUUGAUACUGUAAGGCUAGAAUACAGACGAGGUAGGCGGAAUGUAGCAUGUAGCGGUGAAAUGCUUAGAUAUGCUACAGAACACCAAUCGCGAAGGCAGCUUACCAGACUGUAAUUGACGCUAAGGCACGAAAGCGUGGGGAGCGAACAGGAUUAGAAACCCCAGUAGUCC